GCUCCUACCGAUUGGGUGUGCUGGUGAAGUGUCCGGAUUGGCCUCAGCUGGUGGCAACAUCGGCUGUGGCUGAAAAGUUCCCUAAACCCUCCCACCUAGAGGAAGGAGAAGUCGUAACAAGGUUUCC
rnacentral:rRNA from 1 species